UGUCUGAAGUCACUUCUAAUAGAAUCUAUGGUUAGUAACAGUACCUUGGCAAUAAUAAUAGUGUCCACUGUGGGAUACAGGGUUUUGAAGGCACCUCUGGCCAGGUGUGAAGAGUGUCUUAACAGUGUCCCUUACUUCAGCAAAGUCUGAAUGGCCGUAGUAGCAGGUUGCCUUGCUGACUCCUAUGCUUGCCCAUGCAAAGUCUUAGUUUUCCAAUCCUCUCCUUUGUCUUUCUCCUUCUCUUCUUCUGUAGAUCAUGUAGAGAUCAGUGAGUCUCUGUAGGUUUUUGGGCCUGAGAAGAGGAAGCAUAGGUCACUGCUUCCUUCCUCUUCAAAUACUCACUCUCAACUCCCUAACUAAGCUGGGGACAGUUCCUAGAUCAUCACCCAACCUCCUGCAAGGGCCAAGCCAGGAUUGUAAACCCUGGCUCUGCCAUCCAUACACAUCGAUACUGGGUACUGUACUUAAUAUGACAAUGCAUAACAGCAUAUUAUAUAAUAUAUAACAUAACAAACAAUUUUCAGAUACCCCUGCUUUGGGAUACUGUAUACAGUACCUACUCCUCACUGCUCCAUUCCAGGUCACUGGGUCUGUUUGGCGAUCUUCUGGCUCCUUAUUUAUUUACCUUCUAGGUGGCGUUUGGAAGGGCUCACAUUUGCCAGCAGUAACCAACCUGCCACUGGGAACUGAGUCAAGUCAUUGGCUGCAGCGUCACACGUGACUCCUUCUAUACCCAUCCAGAAAUAAGCAAACAGGGGACCAGAAAUUCACCGGAAGUAGCAAGGGCACUGGAACAGAACGGCAGGGAACAGAUGAACACUGAAAUGCAAAGGCCACAAAACCUGCCGGCCAUAAAGCUUGUGGAUAAUUCAUGGAGCGGGGGACACCUUGUCAUCAGCCUAUUGUGGCCAGGAGCCUAAAGAAUGGCAAGCAGCAGGUGUGCGCAGAGCGAGCCACACAGACAUGGCCGGGCCAUAGAAUUCCCAGCUGCAGCCCCAACUCCACGUCUCAUUCAUUUUCACAAACUCGGCUCAUUUGGCGAUUGUGUCAGGAGUAAUGGGCUUUUCUCAGCUUUAGGACGAACAGAUACACAAUGACCAGGAACACGAAAAGCAUGACAGAUACUAGUGCCAGGAUGAGGGAGCGGUAAGAUUCCCUCUUGAAAGAU